rnacentral:rRNA from 1 species
AGUGAACGCUGGCGGUAGGCCUAACACAUGCAAGUCGAACGGCAGCACAGUAAGAGCUUGCUCUUACGGGUGGCGAGUGGCGGACGGGUGAGGAAUACAUCGGAAUCUACUUUUUCGUGGGGGAUAACGUAGGGAAACUUACGCUAAUACCGCAUACGACCUACGGGUGAAAGCAGGGGAUCUUCGGACCUUGCGCGAGUGAAUGAGCCGAUGUCGGACUAGCUAGUUGGCGGGGUAAAGGCCCACCAAGGCGACGAUCCGUAGCUGGUCUGAGAGGAUGAUCCGCCACACUGGAACAGAGACACGGUCCAGACUCCUACGGGAGGCAGCAGUGGGGAAUAUUGGACGAUGGGCGCAAGCCUGAUCCAGCCAUACCGCGUGGGUGAAGAAGGCCUUCGGGUUGUAAAGCCCUUUUGUUGGGAAAGAAAAGCAGCAGGUUAAUACCCCGCUGUUCUGACGGUACCCAAAGAAUAAGCACCGGCUAACUUCGUG